rnacentral:rRNA from 3 species
UGUUUCGGCUAGGGGGCCAUCCCGGCUUACCAACCCGAUGCAAACUGCGAAUACCGGAGAAUGUUAUCACGGGAGACACACGGCGGGUGCUAACGUCCGUCGUGAAGAGGGAAACAACCCAGACCGCCAGCUAAGGUCCCAAAGUCAUGGUUAAGUGGGAAACGAUGUGGGAAGGCCCAGACAGCCAGGAUGUUGGCUUAGAAGCAGCCAUCAUUUAAAGAAAGCGUAAUAGCUCACUGGUCGAGUCGGCCUGCGCGGAAGAUGUAACGGGGCUAAACC